rnacentral:lncRNA from 1 species
GAGAUGAUACGGAAAAUACACUGUACGAAAUACGAAGUGAAUGUUAAUGAAGGCAAACAAACAAAAUGCCACUGUCAAAAGCCAAAACAUUAAGAUAAUUUUCAACCUCAACACUGAAACCACAGAACAUGCUUUCAACCAUCAGGUUACUCUGUUACCAACUUGUAGUCAUAAUGUUCGCACCAGGUGGCUGCUUUCCUCCUCUAAAUAAUCUCUUGGAUAGAAAAUGCUCCCAAGACUCCGGUGCAUUCUUUUCCAAGUAGGGACAAAAAAAAAUGAAACCACAGAACAUGCUUUCAACCAUCAGGUUACUCUGUUACCAACUUGUAGUCAUAAUGUUCGCACCAGGUGGCUGCUUUCCUCCUCUAAAUAAUCUCUUGGAUAGAAAAUGCUCCCAAGACUCCGGUGCAUUCUUUUCCAAGUAGGGACAAAAAAAAAUGUUGUUACAAAACUUAUACAAUCUUUUUCAGCCAACAUGCAAAAAGAACAGCUGACUUCACAAAAAAAAAACAUAGUAGACAUUAGAUACAUCAGCGGGGGGCAGAGAGAGAGAGAGAGAGAGAGAGAGAGAGAGAGAGAGAGAGAGAGAGAGAGAGAGAGAGAGAGAUUGAGAAGAGGUUUCUAUCAUCAGUAUAAAUUAUAUGAAACUAUUUGUUGAAAAUUGCUUGCACUGAACUGAGAGGAUCACAUCGUACAGCAGCAUAAGUUCGAAGUGUUAGGCUCUUC